AUGCCUUACACAUGCAAGUCGAACGGCAGCACGGGAGCAAUCCUGGUGGCGAGUGGCGAACGGUGAGUAAUAUAUCGGAACGUGCCCAGUCGGUGGGGGAUAACGUAGCGAAAGUUACGCUAAUACCGCAUACGCACUAAGGUGGAAAGUGGGGGGAUUCGCAAGAACCUCAUGCUCAUGGAGUGGCCGAUAUCUGAUUAGCUAGUUGGUGAGGUAAAGGCUCACCAAGGCGACGAUCAGUAGCCUGGUUUGAGAGAACGACCCAGCCACACUGGAACUGAGACACGGCCCAGACUCCUACGGGAGGCAGCAGUGGGGAAUUUUGGACAAUGGGCGCAAGCCUGAUCCAGCAAUGCCGCGUGCAGGAUGAAGGCCUUCGGGUUGUAAACUGCUUUUGUACGGAACGAAACGGUGAGCUCUAAUACAGUUUGCUAAUGACGGUACCGUAAGAAUAAGCACCGGCUAACUACGUG
rnacentral:rRNA from 1 species